rnacentral:tRNA from 1 species
UCCUGGUGGCUCAGAUGGUAAAGAACCUGCCUGCAAUGCAGGAGGUCUAGGUUCAAUCCCUGGGUCAGGAA